rnacentral:tRNA from 1 species
UCCAAUUUGGCUCAGACAGUAAAGCAUCUGUCUGCAACGCAGAAGACCCAGGUUUGAUCCCUGGGUUGGGAA